UACGGGGGGAGCAAGCGUUGUUCGGAUUUACUGGGCGUAAAGGGCGCGUAGGCGGCCACUGCAAGUCGGUUGUGAAAUCUCCGGGCUUAACCCGGAAAGGUCAACCGAUACUGCAGGGCUAGAGUGCAGAAGGGGCAACUGGAAUUCUCGGUGUAGCGGUGAAAUGCGUAGAUAUCGAGAGGAACACCUGCGGCGAAGGCGGGUUGCUGGGCUGACACUGACGCUGAAGCGCGAAAGCUAGGGGAGCGAACGGG
rnacentral:rRNA from 1 species